ACGUGCCUUUGAUGAGUUGCAGAAUUGUUGCCUACAUUGUUUGAUUUUUUAAAUUAUGAUAAGAAUCUGCAAAACUCUGAGGCACUU